AUGAGGUAUGCUGGCAUGAAGCCUGCCAUGGAGGAGUCUUGGGGGCUGGUUAAUUGGUGCAGUAGUUUAUAUAGGUCUGAAAUGCAAGUGUUACUUGAUGAGGGUCUAUGCAGAGCUGCUAGGUGUGACAACAUGACCAGAAGUUUUCCAUGGGGGAGGCUUCAAACUUUAAAGGAGCAAAAGCAAAAAUACAGAUUAAAGAUUGGAAGUUUGUCCCUGGGGAGGUUGAAGUUGUCUUGCCACCGUUAG